GGAUGUUCAGAGAAAAUACAUUAGAGGACCAAGGCAAAGGGAGCAAACAAGACUUGCCACUUUCAGAGUUGGUUGUCUCCAUCCUGAUAUGGAGACAUUCCACCCACAAAAAGGUACUGUCUUGAGCAAAAAAAUAAAUUUUUAUGGAGGAUUGAGAGUUCGAGGUGGGGUUGUACCCAGCCUUGGUGUGGGGGAGAAAGUGAGAGGACAGCAACUGCUGGAGGCUGAUGAAGCAAUAAUUAACCUCAGACUAAUGGCUCAGCACAAAUAUGAAGGUGGCUAAAUUGAGCUGUAACCACUCCAGUAUACUGUACAUUACAGGAUGUGAAACUGCCACCUGACACAUGCCUGUUGCAAUAUGCCGACAGCAUCACAGUUACUGCUGAAACAUCAGAGGAUUGCAGAAAAGCAUUGAUUGCUAAUUUAAGCUACAGUGGGUCAAAGAAAAGGUUUAAUACCUUGAACAUGUGCUAACAAAGGGGACUGUACGCAUGCCUGCAGAUGGAAUGAAGACAAUUUUGCAAACUGAACAAUGAUGCAAUCCAAUGGACUAUGGAAAUGGACAUGACAUUUAAAAAUCUGAAGUAAUGCCUUGGGAAACCACCAGCGCUGGUUCUUCCAGACUACAGCAAACCUUUCCAUUUGUAUGUGCACGAGGCUGGGGGGACUGCUGCUUCAAUCCUUGCCCAGGAGCACGGGGGUUCUUACUGCCUGGUGGCAUAUUUAUCUAAAACUCUGGAUUAGGUUGCAAGGGGCUUCCCUGGUUGUCUGCGAGCAGUGGCUGCAACAGCGAUGAUGGUAAAGAAUGCGGAAUGAGUUGUGCUUUCACAUCCUCUGACUGUGCACACAACUCAUCAGAAAAGCCCAUUCACCCAUUUGUCCCAAACCAGCAGAUCCUAGUAAAGUGUCUGAAACCAACGAAGCUAAGUGAGCACAAGUAUCUGGGUCCAACAACGGUUCUUGUGGUAACCAGGACAGGGGUACUGACAGAUCUGCAACCACAAUGGAUACAUGCAAGCCACAUGAAGCCUGCACCUGGGGAGAGCCUGACUAUUUUGAAAGUACUGGAGGAGCUUAACACGCAGCGCCAGUGCCUAACUGGGAUCUUGAGAAUUAGAAGGGACGAUGACAUGGAUGGAUGGAUAGAUGAGACAUUUAUAGAUGAUGUUGAUGCACCAUAUAACUAUCCUACCAAUUUGUGGUGUAAAUUAGCUAACGUUAUGGCCAAAAACCCAGGGAAGAAAGGUAGUUGUUAUAUGCUGCAUAGUGCAUUUGCACCAGCGGUAAAGGUACACUGCUCUGCCGGAAUUGUGAAAACUAUAUGUGCCAUGGUAGAAUUUAAGUGACCACACCAUGGUUUUCUGAGCUAUUGAGAAGACAACAAACAGAGAUGAAGUAGUCUAAGUAAACCCAAUACCACACCAAGAGAACACAGAUUAUGGACAGGAAAAGAGAAAUUCUUUGGAGCACUGUCAUGGUUAAAUGGUUGAAAAAAAUGUUUUUAUGCUUUAAUACCUAUGAGUAAUUUUAAUUGUUAUAGCAUUACUGAUUUGUUGUGAUUCCAUGUGUUAAAGCAUUGUCAAUAGGACCAUUGAUAACACUUUGAAUGAUUAUUACGCUCUGAUAAACCUUGAAGAUGCUGAUAGAAAUGGUUAUGGGACACAUUGGGAGGAAUAUGAUGGUAAUGAGUAAAAGAUAGAAUGUAAGGUAAACCGGAUGUGAUUUUUGAAUGGCAAUCUGAGGCAUUUGUCUCAGACAAAAGUGGGCAAUGUGAGAAAUAGGCCUCAGAUGGAACAGUGUGACCUUGAUGCUUGCUUAUCUGCUUUUUAUGUUUUCAGUGCUGUCGUGAGCAAAAAAUGUUCUUGACAAGAAUGCACUUCUUUAAGCAAGAGGAAGCAACCCCAUAUAUGGAGGAUUGAGAAAGUUCAAGGUGGGGGUUGUAACCAGCCUUGUGUGACAAGAAACAUAUAAACCCCUUGCUUGCUUUUAUUAAAUUAAAGAACUGCUUGUAACGUUCUGUGUCCAUGUAUUUCUUCCCACCGGUGAAUUCAUCUCCUGCUCGAAGAGUGACUGCGAGGAAGGCAGAAUAAAGCAUCCGAUUCGUACAUUACUAACAGUCACACAAAACAGCCUGCGCAUAGUCAGAGACACGACGCAGCUAGGCGUGUCUCUCACAUGCUGCUCUCUCAUUUGUUUGGGUGUGAGAUGAUAAAAUACAGACUACGUCCACAGACAACAGACGCUCUAUGUCAGAGAUACGGCUCGUCGUUCUGUGUCACACAAAAAGCUUACAAGCACUGAAUUGAAUCGUUUCAUGUUUUCUUGCGCUUGAAUGGUGUAAAAUUGCUUGAAUGUUCUUGACUUGGCUAUCUGUGCCACACAAAACAUCGCUCUCGGAGCAUGCAUGUAUUUGUCAUUUUCAACAGAUGGAAAAUGAAAGUGCUGGAGCUCCACCCUCUAGUAGACAGUAUUGCUAUCGUCAUUUAUAUAAAAAUACUAUGUCAGAUCAGGUAGAAAAGAUAUAGCAACAAACUUCAGAACAGUCCCUCUGUCUUUGGCGAGGGUGCUUGUGGCAUUUAAAGCUCUAGGAGGAGUAGCAUUGAAUAAUUUUAGUCUCAGAAGAAUAAUAAUAAAAUAGAAUAAGUUUAAAUGGUAUAACAAUAUGUUGGCUUGACAAAGCUUAACUAGAAGCUAAACUUUGAUGUUGGCUUGAGAAAGCCCGAACCUUGAACCAGGAAUGGAACUUGAUGAUAACAAUAAAACAAGAGCACAGCAAAAAUAUGAAAUAUAUGCAAUUACUUAAAAAUUAUUUAAGAUCUCCAUGUCAUUAUACCACAUACGGCAUUCACUAAGAUUUUCACUUUGUCAUAAGACUAUUUCCCCACCUUCAUGCCAUCCCAGAUGUGUAUGAAUUUCUUCUGCAGAACAUGAAUGAAGAUGAUUAGAAGAAUAUCUCCGCUUUGUUGGUCCAGUCAAUGCAAGUAAAUGAGAAGUGGUGAGAAACAGAUCAAUAAAUUAAGUAAUUUUUUUACUAUAAAUUUUCACUUUCAUAAGCGCUCUUCUCUCUUCUGUUUUAAAAAAAAAAAAUAAAAAAUUAUUUACAUAAGCAUAUCAACCCUACUGGGUAGGGAGGACAAUAGUAAUAAAAAUGUAAUAUUGAUCUGUUUCUCACCAACACCUAUCAUAUCACAUCUGAAUGACAUAGAUUAAACCACUGGAGUUGUAUGGAUUACUUUUAUGCAACAUUUAUGUGAUUUUUGUACCUUCUGAAUUCUGAUCACCAUUCAUGUGCAUUGAAAGGAAUAACAGGGCUGAGAUAAUCUUCUAUAAAGCAUAAUUUGUGUUCAGCAGAAGAAAAACGUCAUACACAUCUGGGAUGGUAUGAGGGUGAGUAAAUUAUGAGAGAAGUUAUUUGAAAGACUAAUUAUGCACAUAAUAACAGUAAAAGAACUGUGACUGUUUAUUACUCUCAAGAUGUACAGGCUCACACUGGUCAGUGCUUUGUAUUUUAGAUAAUGAAAAUCGCAUCAGAUCCAGUGAAACCAUGAAUGUUCAGUGAUUGUUUUUACAUGGCAUUUUACAAAGUAAGAGUGAAAUAAAAGACUAAAAAGAACACAUUUGUACUUCUCUUUUACUUGGAAUGUCAAUGUUCAGGACAAAAGCAAAAUGGUUACUGUCUCUUUAAGAGGGUUAUAUUGCAUGAUACAACAUUGAAGGCGCUCUGUGCAAUUUGUUUUGAGUUUAAUCUUUUGAGAGCUGUAAAGUCUCAUUGGUUUUGUACUGUG